rnacentral:rRNA from 1 species
GACGAACGCUGGCGGCGUGCUUAACACAUGCAAGUCGAACGGAAAGGCCCUGCUUGCAGGGUACUCGAGUGGCGAACGGGUGAGUAACACGUGGGUGAUCUGCCCUGCACUUCGGGAUAAGCCUGGGGAACUGGGUCUAAUACCGGAUAGGACCAUCGUUUAGUGUCGGUGGUGGAAAGUUUUUCGGUGCAGGAUGAGCUCGCGGCCUAUAAGCGUGUUGGUGGGGUAAUGGCUGUCCAAGGCGUCGACGGGUAGCCGGCCUGAGAGGGUGGAAGGACACAUUGGGACUGAGACGAGGCCCAGACUCCUACGGGAGGCAGCAGUGGGGAAUGUUGCACAAUGUGCGCAAGCCUGAUGCAGCGACGCCGCGUGGGGGAUGAAGGCCUUCGGGUUGUAAACUCCUUUCAACCAUGACGAAGCGUAAGUGACGGUAGUGGUAGAAGAAGCACCGGCUAACUACGUGCCAGCCGCCGCAGUAA